GACGAACGCUGGCGGCGUGCUUAACACAUGCAAGUCGAACGGAAAGGCCCUGCUUUUGUGGGGUGCUCGAGUGGCGAACGGGUGAGUAACACGUGAGUAACCUGCCCUUGACUUUGGGAUAACUUCAGGAAACUGGGGCUAAUACCGGAUAGGAGCUCCUGCUGCAUGGUGGGGGUUGGAAAGUUUCGGCGGUUGGGGAUGGACUCGCGGCUUAUCAGCUUGUUGGUGGGGUAGUGGCUUACCAAGGCUUUGCCGGGUAGCCGGCCUGAGAGGGUGACCGGCCACAUUGGGACUGAGAUACGGCCCAGACUCCUACGGGAGGCAGCAGUGGGGAAUAUUGCACAAUGGGCGGAAGCCUGAUGCAGCAACGCCGCGUGCGGGAUGACGGCCUUCGGGUUGUAAACCGCCUUCGCCUGUGACGAAGCGUGAGUGACGGUAAUGGGUAAAGAAGCACCGGCUAACUACGUG
rnacentral:rRNA from 1 species